CAACAGUGCUUAAUUUAGCGGAACACUGGAAUGAUCUCAUAGCUGAACACUGGAAUCAUCUCGCCAGCAUUAAAAAUUACUGAUGCCUGCCUGGGUCCUACGUACAGAGACUCUGAUUCAAUGGGUCUGGGAAGUGGCCCUGGCAUUGGGAUUUUUUUAAGUUCCUUCAGUGUAUCUGGUACGUUGCAAAGAUUGAGAACAACUCUUCUACAUGAAAUACUAUAAGUUCUACAAGGACAAGAAUUUUGUCUGCUUUGUCCAGUGAGCCUGAACCAGUGCCUGGCACAUAGGAGAUAAUAAAUCAAUAUCUAUCUAAUUAGUUGUUAUCAGAAGGAUUUUUCAUCUGAAAUGGGCAUUCUCAUCUUUCACUGAAAGUUAAACUGUCUUCCAAGGAAGAGAUGAAGAAACAAAUUCUCAGCUACUUUGGCAUAUCUGCAAAAGCCUGAAAGCUCUGUCAAAUAUUCAGCACAAUAAUUCUGCAACACUUCAGAUGGUCACCUAAACCUGCCAAUAGAUCUGCUUUGACCAGCUACUCAGGUUGAGCAGAAACUUUUAACUCUCAACCUCCAAGAUAAUAAAUGUUAAUGAGAUGAUAAUUUACUCCCUUGAAUU
rnacentral:lncRNA from 1 species